rnacentral:rRNA from 1 species
AAUGAACGCUGGCGGCGUGCCUAACACAUGCAAGUCGAACGAGAAACUCUGAGCUUGCUCGGAGGAGUAGAGUGGCGCACGGGUGAGUAACGCGUGGGUAACCUGCCCCUGAAUCGGGGAUAACUCCGUGAAAACGGUGCUAAUACCGGAUAAUGUCCUGGAAACCGCGGUUUGCGGGAUGAAAGGCGACCUAUUCAUGAAAGUUGCCGUUUAGGGAGGGGCUCGCGUACCAUUAGCUUGUUGGUAAGGUAAUGGCUUACCAAGGCGACGAUGGUUAGCUGUCUGAGAGGAUGAUCAGCCACACUGGAACCGGAAUACGGUCCAGACUCCUACGGGAGGCAGCAGUGAGGAAUUUUGCGCAAUGGGGGAAACCCUGACGCAGCAACGCCGCGUGAGUGAAGAAGGCCCUUGGGUCGUAAAGCUCUGUCAAGUGGGAAAAAAGCUUGUCACUGAAUAGGUGAUGAGUCUGAUGGUACCACUAAAGGAAGCACCGGCUAACUCCGUGCCAGCAGCCGCGGUAAUACGGAGGGUGCAAGCGUUGUUCGGAAUUAUUGGGCGUAAGGAGCGUGUAGGCGGUUAGGCAAGUCAGAUGUGAAAGCCCUGGGCUCAACCUAGGAAGUGCAUUUGAAACUGCCGUUCUAGAGUAUGGGAGGGGAGAGUGGAAUUCCCAGUGUAGAGGUGAAAUUCGUAGAUAUUGGGAGGAACACCCGUGGCGAAGGCAACUCUCUGGACCAAUACUGACGCUGAGACGCGAAAGCGUGGGGAGCAAACAGGAUUAGAUACCCUG